rfam:Pseudomonas bauzanensis strain CGMCC 1.9095 genome assembly, contig: Ga0066784_101
UGCGUAUUUUGCCCAGGCGGAGCUCGACCGCCGCAACAAACCCUGAACGCCUUCGUUGACGAGUACCGUGACCGCUACGGAGUCGAGUCGAUCUGUCGGGUAAUCCAGAUCGCUCCG